rnacentral:rRNA from 1 species
AGACCCGAAACCCGGUGAUCUAGCCAUGGGCAGGUUGAAGGUUGGGUAACACUAACUGGAGGACCGAACCGACUAAUGUUGAAAAAUUAGCGGAUGACCUGUGGCUGGGGGUGAAAGGCCAAUCAAACCGGGAGAUAGCUGGUUCUCCCCGAAAGCUAUUUAGGUAGCGCCUCGUGAAUUCAUCUCCGGGGGUAGAGCACUGUUUCGGCUAGGGGGCCAUCCCGGCUUACCAACCCGAUGCAAACUGCGAAUACCGGAGAAUGUUAUCACGGGAGACACACGGCGGGUGCUAACGUCCGUCGUGAAGAGGGAAACAACCCAGACCGCCAGCUAAGGUCCCAAAGUCAUGGUUAAGUGGGAAACGAUGUGGGAAGGCCCAGACAGCCAGGAUGUUGGCUUAGAAGCAGCCAUCAUUUAAAGAAAGCGUAAUAGCUCACUGGUCGAGUCGGCCUGCGCGGAAGAUGUAACGGGGCUAAACCAUGCACCGAAGCUGCGGCAGCGACACUGUGUGUUGUUGGGUAGGGGAGCGUUCUGUAAGCCUGUGAAGGUGGCCUGUG